rnacentral:rRNA from 1 species
GAUGAGCGCUGGCGGCGUGCUUAACACAUGCAAGUCGAACGGAAAGGCCUCUGCUUGCAGGGGUACUCGAGUGGCGAACGGGUGAGUAACAUGUGGGUGAUCUGCCCUGCACUUCGGGAUAAGCCUGGGAAACUGGGUCUAAUACCGGAUAGGACAAUGGUUUGGAUGCUGUUGUGGAAAGUUUUUCGGUGUGGGAUGAGCUCGCGGCCUAUCAGCUUGUUGGUGGGGUAAUGGCCUACCAAGGCGUCGACGGGUAGCCGGCCUGAGAGGGUGUACGGCCACAUUGGGACUGAGAUACGGGCCAGACUCCUACGGGAGGCAGCAGUGGGGAAUAUUGCACAAUGGGCGCAAGCCUGAUGCAGCGACGCCGCGUGGGGGAUGACGGCCUUCGGGUUGUAAACUCCUUUCGCUAGGGACGAAGCGUUUUUGUGACGGUACCUGGAGAAGAAGCACCGGCUAACUACGUG